rnacentral:lncRNA from 1 species
UCUGCAGUCUUCUUUCGUGAGUCUUUAUGAGAUGUGAUUAAAAAACGUAACUGCUGCCACUGAGCGCCAUCCAGCGGAGAGGCGGCUUGUAAAAACACGAGACUACGUCCGCAUCCUCCUUGUCACCCGCUCUGACACUGUGAGACUUCUGGAUCUUCCUAAAGUCAGGAUGACCAGGACAGGGAUUGAACUUGGGACCUUGUGCUUGCAAGGCAGGAGCUGGAACCACUGAGCUAAAUCCCCGGCUUCACUGAGAUUUUAAAAAAGGAAAGGAAAGGGGAAAGAGAGCC